rnacentral:lncRNA from 1 species
GUGGUUUCAAAGCCACGCAGAAAUCGCAGAAGUGUCUUCUCCCCAAACACUCUACAGAAACUCCUCUUUCUCUCCCCUAUUUCUAACUUUCUCCUUUUCAAAAAUUAAACCCUCUCUCCACCCGUCAAAAACCAAAACCACCACACACCUCCUCUCUUUCAUAUAUCACUACCUUUCCUAAUUGUCCAAAUUUUCUUAACAUGCUCUCUUUCCUCAUCAGCUUCAUCCUUCUCUUUACGACCACCACCAAUGCCACCAUCACUACUUCCGAACGACUCAGGGAAGCGCUCGCCACCGCAACCACUCAACGAUUCAAGGAAG